UUCUUAGGCACAGGCACAAUAUUGGCCACCCAUAGAGGAUAUGUGGAAGUCACCAGAAACCCCGCAUCAAUUUGCUUUUGAACUUCCUCUUUGAUCUUCACUGCCAUAUCUGGAUGAGUUCUUCUGAGCUUCUACUUCACAGGCACGCACUCAGGCUUCAGAGGCAGGAAAUGUUGCACAAUAUCUGUAUCUAGACCCGGCAUGUCUUCAUACGACCAAGCAAAGAUAUCAGAAUAUUCUCGUAG
rnacentral:lncRNA from 1 species